UCGGGGGGGUGGUCAGGGAUAGAACCCGUCCGCUCCCUCUCAGGCCUGGGCCCCAGGAUAGGGGCAGCCGUGCCGCCUCCAUCCUUCGAAGGCUCCUCUCCCUGUUUUCCCGGGGUUCCCUGCAGGCCCGGGCCCUCCUGCCCGCCCGAGCCCCUCCGCGGGUUACCAUGCUGGCGGGCCGGCCGGCCGCGGCCGCGGGGCUCUCGGCGCCCCCUCGGCACCGCCCCCGCGAGGAGGUGCGCUGGGUGUCCGGCGUCUACUCCUGCCGUUUGCUGCGGCGCUGCUUAGCAGAGUUCUCGGUCGGAGAAUCGCACCAGGCAGCGGCAGUAACUGCGGGCCCGGCGUACGGCAGCCAUCUUCGUGGGGCAGGGGGCCAGAUCUGGGCGCGCUGCGGAGCCAGCCGGGACUAGCAGAGCGCAAGGACGCCGGAGGCCCGCCGAGGCCGAGGACUGCACGCACAGGAGUGCCUGCCCUGCAGGAGACCUCGACGCUGCAGCGAAGCGGCCCCGGUGCUGCGGAAACCUGCGCCGGAACAGAGCAUGCGCAGUGCAGUGCCGCCACCGCUGCCGCCCGCGUGGGCAGCAGAGCUCGGAGCCUCGGGCAGUGCUUGCACCGCAGAGGGCGAGGAACACAGCCCAGGUGAGGACA